CUAACCCAAUGGUGCGAAGCUCCCAUCCGAGGGAUUAUGACUGAACGCCUCUAAGUCAGAAUCCCGCCUGGAAAGCGACGAUGCAUUCGUGCCUCGGCCUCGAGAGGCGUAGCUAGACGGCCGCGUGGCCGUGGAAAGAGCCCGAUUCCGACCCGAGAGGCCGCGGCAAGAGGCGGCCUCGAAGUCGGUGGAUCCUCCUGCUCGAAAGGCGGGGUGCUAAACCAUUCGCAGACGACCUAGUUGAAGAUCGGGGUGUCGUGAUCACUAGAGCAGUACAUCUCACUGCGAUUUGUUGAGAGUAAGCCUCAAGAUCUGUCGGUUUGU
rnacentral:ncRNA from 1 species